ACAAAAAGUUUACAUGACAUGCUCUUACACUAAAAACCAAUUUAUUGCAAGAACCCUAUACCAACGGCUCCGUUGGUAUAAUUUUUCUGACAGUAUUUCUUAGUUUUAUCGUAAUAGAUAUCGAAAUCCCUUCAUGUAGACCAGCCUUAUACCGACGGAUAACAUAAUCCGUCAAUAAAUGCAGGGUAAAAAAACGCAGCACCUAGGGGAGUUUUUCGUUUAAAAAAUAUAUAUAUUUAUUUAUGUUUCAUUAUGUAUACACACGACUAGCUCGAUGGAAUUGAUGUUCAUCUGAUUUUCUUUUAACCCAAUUUAAUUAAUUUCCCAAUAAAAAAACCCAAAAUCACUGAUGAAACCUAAUCUCUUCCCUGCCUCUUCACAUCCUCUGAGAAAACCUUCUUUGCCUCUCUCUCAUCCAGCACCGAGCUCCGCCGUGCGCCGCCAUUCACUAUCGUCCUUUCGAUCCUGAGACACCUCCAACCGUCUCUUCUUCCUUCCCUCUUCAGACUGGUUUUCUUCGAAACCGAUCUAAACCUUGUAGCUCCAAGCUUGAAGUAUAAAAUCCAAACUUCCGAUCCGGCUAAAUCCACCGUCUGAUUGUCACACCACUCUGACCAUCGCUUCCUGGUGGCCGAACGCGCCUCCCCAUCGUUCGGAUAGUCGGUGUGAAUAAAGAAUCAAAACAGCUCUGAGAUCGCUUCCUCGUGGCCGAACGCGCCUCCCCAUCAAUCAAACGCUGCUCCCAUUUUUUGUUUUGGGAAACAAAAUCGAUGUGGAUGGUGGAAACAGUUGAGUAGUAGGUAUAUACAUUUGAAAUGCCUUUUGUGGAAAUGUAGUUUGAUGAUUAGAUUAUAUUCAUAUUUGAAAUUAACUUGUCAUUUACCACAUGUAUACUUGUGUGUUUGAACUCUAUGGUGAUGGGCACUCUUUGAUGCACUCAACAUUGCUCUAACAAGGACAUUUGUUAACUUUGUAGGCAUUAAUAUAUACAUUUGAAAUGCCUUUUGUGGAAAUGUAGUUUGAUGAUUAGAUUAUAUUCAUAUUUGAAAUUAACUUGUCAUUCACCACCAAAAUGGCAGGUCUUGCUCUAGAAACUAUGUAUACUUUAGUGUGUUUGAACUCUAUGGUGAUGGGCACUCUUUGAUGCACUCAACAUUGCUCUAACAAGGACAUUUGUUAACUUUGUAGGCAUUGAUGUUUAUGUUAACUGGAUUAUGUAUUAAUAUUCAUUAUUAAUAAAAAAUAUUUGUUUUGUUUCUUUAUUUUCUUUAAUUCUUUUUACGAAUUUUUUGAUUUUAAUAUCUCUUAAUUCAAAUAUGAUGGCUGGAAAAGAACAUUUGAGAAUCAAACAAAAAUUGUAAAAAACAAUAAUUAAGCUAUUCGUCAGUAAAUGUCAAACAAAAGCAAAAUAGAAAAUAAAUAACUUUUACUGAUGGAAAGACCGUCAAGUAGAUCAAAAUCUUGUACUGGCGAUGAGCUACGGUUGGAAUAACUAUAGCUUCUAUUGACGGAUCUGUAUGUAGGUAUAAGAAAAAGUGAUAUACAGACAGUUUCGUUAGUAUAACCUUAUACCGGCAAAUAUUCUGUUAACGACCUUAUUUUCAUUGGGGUAGCAUAUUUUUUUGUCGAUAUAAGAUUUAAGGUGCCAUAAAUUUUUGGGUUUUUAUCGAUAGAUUUUUUUAACAUAAGUAAAUGCAUUUUUCUUGUAGUGUUAUUGUGCACUAUAAUGUUCGGUUUGUGCAAGUGUACACAUUCGUUGAAGUAAUAAGAAAUAAAAUGAAUUAUCGUCUCCACAUGAACUGUGCAUGUUAAUCGAUUAUUUUUGAAAUUAUAAAUUCACAAUUUGGUAUAAAAACACAAUAAUUUGAAUGGUGAUGUUUAGACCAAGUGAAAUUAACGAGAUGCAAAGAAUGAUCCCUAAUGCAAUUUUAAUCUAGAUGCAAUUUACCUAAAUGUAUGAAUUAAUGGCUAGGAUAAUUGUAUUAAUCAAUUCAAUUUACUUUAUCAUGCUUAACAAUGUUCGGAAAUACUUCCAUGGAAACUCAAUCUUUCAUGAGUUUGGAAACCAAAUUAAGUCCUCUCAGAUCUUUUACUUAGUGAAAUAUGCAUUUUAUUGUUCAUAUUAGACUAAGGGUUUCUUAGCAUUUAUGCAAGGUCACAUGGACAUUUACAUUUGCAAUAAUUUAAUCACAUAAACCUAAAAACUAUGUAAGAUAAUAGAGCUAACUAAAUAUAUUAUGAACGUCAACUUAGUUGGGUUUAAUGAUCUAAAUUGAGCAUUACACUUUUCAAUUAUGUGUCUACUAGCUGCCGUCUGGUUAGGACCACUCAGCUAAUCUGAAUGCACUCAAUCUCGUAUGAAUAAAAUGCAUCAUGAUAUUAAUUGAAAACAUGACCGAUUGAGGCCCAAACAUAUUAAACAUGAAUAAAAUAAAUCUUAUUGAAUUAACAUAAUCAUCCUAGAAAAUAGGAUUUAAAAUAUCAUAGUUGAUGUCAAAAACAAUAAACUCAAAGCAAGCAUAAUUAAAAUAAAUAACAAGAGGAAAGAGUAAACUCUAUUCAGUUUAGCAGCCUUUCAGAUCUAUUCUGACUGAUGCGCUCUUCUAUUCUGAUUGAUGCUUCUUUAUUAAGGGUUUUAAGGUGGCCGGCCAAAGAAUGCUUUUGACAAAACUUAUGUUGGCUAAAGGAUGGAAAGGGAG
rnacentral:lncRNA from 1 species